GCCCCUCCCGAACUGCGGCGGCGGCGGCGGAGCCGCGUCCCAGCCGAGCUGCAGCCGAGCAGGCGCCGAGCCGCAGCGCCCGAGGCCCGCGAGUGGACAAGACCUUCUCCCCUCGCCGGAGUGUUUGGAGGAGUGAUGGGCAGAGCCAGUGCUUUCCUCCGCCGCUAGAUCUGCCACGGGUGGACUUGACUCCCUCCCACGCCGCUUCCCUGGGCCCCAAGAACACAGAUCUGUUUGAGAUGAUUGAAAAGAUGCAGGGAAGCAGGAUGGAUGAACAGCGCUGCUCCUUCCCACCGCCCCUCAAAACGGAGGAGGACUACAUUCCAUACCCCAGCGUCCACGAGGUUCUGGGGCGAGAAGGGCCCUUCCCCCUCAUCCUACUGCCCCAGUUUGGGGGCUACUGGAUCGAAGGCACCAACCACGAGAUCACCAGCGUCCCUGAGACAGAGCCACUGCAGUCCCCCACGGCCAAGGUGAAGCUGGAGUGCAACCCCACGGCCCGCAUCUACCGGAAGCACUUCCUCGGCAAGGAACAUUUCAAUUACUACUCACUGGACACGGCCCUGGGCCACCUGGUCUUCUCCCUCAAGUAUGAUGUCAUUGGGGACCAGGAGCACCUGCGACUGCUGCUCAGGACCAAGUGCCGAACAUACCACGAUGUCAUCCCUAUCUCUUGCCUCACUGAGUUCCCCAAUGUGGUUCAAAUGGCAAAGCUGGUGUGUGAAGACGUGAAUGUGGAUCGGUUCUACCCAGUGCUCUACCCCAAGGCCUCCCGUCUCAUCGUCACCUUCGACGAGCAUGUUAUCAGCAAUAACUUCAAAUUUGGAGUCAUUUACCAGAAGCUUGGGCAGACGUCCGAGGAGGAACUCUUCAGCACCAACGAGGAGAGCCCCGCCUUUGUGGAGUUCCUGGAGUUUCUUGGUCAGAAGGUCAAGCUGCAGGAUUUUAAGGGGUUCCGUGGAGGCCUGGACGUGACACAUGGGCAGACGGGGACCGAGUCUGUGUACUGCAACUUCCGCAGCAAGGAGAUCAUGUUCCACGUGUCCACCAAGCUGCCCUACACAGAGGGGGACGCCCAACAGUUGCAGCGCAAGCGACACAUCGGGAACGACAUCGUGGCCGUGGUCUUCCAGGACGAGAACACGCCCUUCGUGCCCGACAUGAUCGCGUCCAACUUUCUGCAUGCCUAUGUGGUAGUGCAGGCAGAGACCGGGGGCCCCGAUGGUCCCCUCUACAAGGUGUCCGUCACUGCUAGAGAUGAUGUGCCCUUCUUUGGGCCCCCGCUCCCAGACCCAGCUGUGUUUAGGAAGGGGCCUGAGUUCCAGGAAUUUUUGCUGACAAAACUGAUCAAUGCUGAAUACGCCUGCUACAAAGCAGAGAAAUUUGCCAAACUGGAGGAGCGGACGCGGGCCGCCCUUCUGGAGACACUCUAUGAGGAGCUGCACAUCCACAGCCAGUCCAUGAUGGGCCUGGGCGGCGACGAGGACAAGAUGGAGAACGGCGGCGGCAGCGGUGGUUUCUUCGAGUCUUUCAAGAGGGUGAUCCGGAGCCGCAGCCAGUCCAUGGAUGCCAUGGGGCUCAGCAACAAGAAGCCCAGCACCGUGUCCACCAGCCACAGCGGGAGCUUUGCACCCAACAACCCUGACCUGGCCAAGGCUGCUGGCAUAUCAUUGCUUAUUCCUGGGAAAAGCGCGAGUAGAUUCGGACGCCGGGGCAGUGCCAUAGGCAUAGGAACCGUGGAAGAGUCUCUGAUCGUCCCCGGGAAGAGCCCCACGAGGAAGAAGUCUGGCCCGUUUGGCUCCCGCCGCAGCAGCGCCAUCGGCAUCGAGAACAUACAGGAGGUGCAGGAGAAGAGGGAGAGCCCCCCGGCAGGCCAGAAGACCCCGGACAGCGGGCACGUGUCCCAGGAGCCCAAGUCAGAGAACUCGUCCACUCAGAGCUCCCCAGAGAUGCCCACGACCAAGAACAGAGCCGAGGCCGCGGCCCAGAGGACAGAGGCGCUAAAGGACUUCUCCCGCUCCUCGUCCAGCGCCAGCAGCUUCGCCAGCGUGGUGGAGGAGACGGAGGGCGCGGACGGGGAUGAUGCCGGCUUGGAGAGCGCCUCAUCCUCGGGGACACCCCACAAGCGGGACUCCUUCAUCUACAGCACAUGGCUGGAGGACAGCGUCAGCACCACGAGUGGGAGCAGUUCCCCAGUGAGGUGGCUCCCUCCUGCCCCCCUCUCCAGGCCCCUCGAGGUCACCCCACCCCGACGCCGGCAAGUCGGGGGACCCUGCGUGUCCCGAGAUCAAGAUUCAGCUGGAAGCCUCUGAGCAGCCCCCACCCCAGCUGGGCUGUUAGCCGGGCUUCCCUCUGAAGGCGGAACCCAGCAGGUGAGACUACCGAAGCACAAGGUGAAGAUUCUGUGUCAGAUCCAGGCAGCGGGACCUCUGCCCCCAGGGCCAGCACUGUGGACCGUCCCCCCUCCCGUGUCCCCGGGCCCACCUCUGGGCUGUCUCUGCAGGGCAGAGCCGUCCAGUCCCCUGCCCACAGAGCUGGGGGCCCAGGCUGGGCCGGGGAGCGGUCAGUUGAAGCAGGACCUCAGGCCUGGCCCACCAUCGCCUGUGGGGAGCUGGGGGGCCCCUGGGACUCCGGAGGAACAAGAAGAAGGCAGAACGGGGUGGGGUCGUCUUCACGCACUCAGCGCGCC